rnacentral:rRNA from 1 species
GGGCCUAUCCGAAGCGGGUGCGAGGCCCAUAGCCGUUCGGGGCGCAGCGGAUGCGAUCUCCUAGGAGUCGGGUUGCUUGGGAGUGCAACCCUAAGAGGGUGGUAAACUCCACCUAAGGCUAAAUACCGCCGUGAGACCGAUAGCAAACAAGUACCGUGAGGGAAAGUUGCAAAGAACUUUGAAGAGAGAGUUCAAGAGUACGUGAAACUGCUCAGAGGUAAACAGGUGGGCCCUCGAAAUCCUGUGGCGAGAGGAUUCAGUCCGGGGCACCGGAGGCGCGUGGCCGUGAAAUCCAGGAAGGGCUUCCCGAGAAUCGGGGCCGUCCGGCCGCGCCGAUCCGGGCGCCUCAGACGCAUUUGACUCUUGCCCAAAGGACGCAGCAACCGGUCGGGCCGAGCAAACAAGACGGCCUGAUAGGAGGAGAUCCGGCAGUUGGCCGGUGGGGCACCCACACGGGAGCCUCGCCGGUUGUUAGCCGCUCCUUUCGUGGCCCGUCGCCCGACCGAGGUUCCAUAAGGUCCCACGCGGGACUUCUCCGUCUCCACUCCACAUGCGGAGAGAGGGGACAGAUCGUCGCUGGUGCAUUCCGCCCUCCGGUCGCAGCCCUCAUGGCUGGACCGUCGGACAGAAGGCGGCGAAGGCGACGGCGGACCCCCAGGAGGCCGGAGGCUCGCUGCGAGUAGGUCGGUCACCCACCUGACCCGUCUUGAAACACGGACCAAGGAGUCUAACAUGUGCGCGAGUCAGUGGGUCUUGAACAGGCCCAGAGGCGCAAUGAAAGCAAAGGCCGGCGUCGACGCCGGCCGUGUUGGGAUCCCUCCCGCAAAGUCGGGGGG